rnacentral:rRNA from 1 species
GGGUUGUAAACUUCUUUUAUAAAGGAAUAAAGUCGGGUAUGCAUACCCGUUUGCAUGUACUUUAUGAAUAAGGAUCGGCUAACUCCGUGCCAGCAGCCGCGGUAAUACGGAGGAUCCGAGCGUUAUCCGGAUUUAUUGGGUUUAAAGGGAGCGUAGAUGGAUGUUUAAGUCAGUUGUGAAAGUUUGCGGCUCAACCGUAAAAUUGCAGUUGAUACUGGAUGUCUUGAGUGCAGUUGAGGCAGGCGGAAUUCGUGGUGUAGCGGUGAAAUGCUUAGAUAUCACGAAGAACUCCGAUUGCGAAGGCAGCCUGCUAAGCUGCAACUGACAUUGAGGCUCGAAAGUGUGGGUAUCAAACAGGAUUAGAUACCCUGGUAGUCCACACGGUAAACGAUGAAUACUCGCUGUUUGCGAUAUACGGCAAGCGGCCAAGCGAAAGCGUUAAGUAUUCCACCUGGGGAGUA